CUUGCUGGAAGCAGUUAUCAGAAGAUGAGUACACUGUGAUCGUAAAGAGAUUGAAAUGGCUACAAUACUGGGGUAGGCUGUGCUGGUUAAAUCAUGGUCAGCUGGUACUAAGGGGUGCAAAUUGUGCCAAGACAAUAUCCCCUACACCAUCACCAGCAGACUGAACUGUUGAGAGAAGAACGAUGCCACGCUUGCAGUCCGGUGUGUGGAAGCAUUUUACCCCAGCCAUCAAAGAUGGAAGAGAGACCUUCAUGUGCAACUACUGCUCAAAGACAUACACAAAGAACGCGACUAAGAUGCAGAUGCAUUUAGACAAAUGCAAGGAGUACUCUGUGGUUUCGCAGCAGUCGCCGGGCCCAGAUGGGAGCUCCUCUGCCUCCAUCCCUGUUCCCUCCUUAUCAUUCUUGCCAUCUGCCACUCCUGGGGGACAGUUCCUCAUUGAUUCUGUGGACCAGCGCAGCCAGGCGUAUGCCGACGAGUGCCUGGCGAGAGCUGUGUACGCCACAUCUUCACCCCUCACUCUCACAGACAAUAUUUACUGGAAACGAUUUUUCAGUGUGCUUCGGCCGGCUUAUUGUCCGCCCCCUAAAGAGGCUCUUUCCUCACAUCUGUUGGACUGUGAGUUUGACAGAGUACAAAGCCAGGUUCAUGAGAGCAUAGGGAAAGCAGACUGCGUCGCCAUCAUCAGCAGUGGCUGGUCUAACGUGAAAGAAACUGGGACUAUUAUCUAUGCUGUUGCUACUCCCGUACCGCUGUUUUACAAAUGCACGAUGACAAAGGAGCAGACACACACAAGCGAAUUUAUUGCUGAGGAACUUAAAGGCGUCAUAAAUGAAGUCGGCUCACAAAAGGUUUUCGCUGUCGUCACCGACGAUGUCCCGGAAAUGAUGGCAGCGUGGGCUCAAGUGGAGGAAGCUUUCCCGCACAUCUCAGCUAUUGGCUGCACAGCGUCCGGUGUCGAGCGUCUCUUUGACGACAUAGUGGCGCAGCCGUCUAUGAAGUCACUGUGCAGGAGAGCUGAGCAGGUGGUGAGGUGUGUUCAAGAACAGCAAAUGUUAAGUGAGACUUUUAGGUGCUGGCAGACUACAAAAAUAAGAAACCACACUUUUAAAGGGACAGCACUGGAACUGCCCUCUGGCACAAACUGGACUGGUGUGGUUAACAUGUUCAGCAGCCUCCUCGAGGGUCAGAACUCUCUACGAGAGAUGGCAGUCUCUACCACACUGGAUAUUGAAGUGACUGUCAGGGCUACCUUGCAGGAUGCCGCGUUUUGGAAAGGGCUGAGCAGCAGUCGGAACUUACUGUACUUGAUUGGGAAUUAUAUUGAUUUCUUGAAAAGAGAAGAUGCCGCACUCUCUGGUGUUGUCGACAUGUUCAGUCAGCUAAGAUACGUCAUCGGGACUUCUCUGUCAGCAUCUGUGCUGCACAGCGCCGAGCAGAAAGCGGUCAUGGCAUCAUUAGACAGGUGUCAGGAGUUCUGCGUGAAACCUAUCCACGCAGCAGCGUACAUGCUCGAUCCAAAGCACGUCGGACAGCAGACGCUCACCGGGGAGCAGAUAAACAGCGCUUACUACGUGAUAUCCAACCUGUCGCACCAUUUGAAUCUCGACGAGGGUAAAGUGCUCGGCAGCUUUGCCAGGUUCUCGGCCAAGCAGGGACUGUGGAAGGGGGCCGGAAUAUGGAGCUCGUGUCAGCACGUGUCCGCAUCCACGUGGUGGAAAGGCCUGUGCUCUUCUGAGCCGCUGUCUGCCGUAGCCUUCGCUAUACUCCAGAUCCCACCGACAACAGGUGCGUGCGAGCGCCUGUGGCAGCACCUCCGUAGUACGAAGGUGAAAGGCUUUGUCUCACCGGAGAGGGUGCAGAAACUUGUCGCAGUGCAGGCAAAUCUCAAUCUUUUAGAGCCAAGUGACUUCGACUAUGCUCCACUGGAGAGUGACGAAGAGAAAAAGGCUUCAUUUCAAUCAGAGUCUCACCAGUAAGAAAAAUGCCUUACAGUGUAAUAGAAUACAACUAUUAGACUAGAUGUAUUCCUUUCAGUGUACAGGAUUUGAACUACUCUAUAAAAGUAAGUAAACUGCACCGUGCUCAUGUUUCUUUAUUCAAUCCAAGGCUUUUAGAGAAAACACCUUCAUAAGGAGACACUGAAUCAGAUGCCUUCAUGUGUUUUAGUGAAUUCAAGUUUUUUUGUAUUACAUAAUCACGUAGUAUGUAUCAACUUUUUAAUCACAACGUAAAAUAUUAACACAACAACAAGGUCAUAUAUUUCUUACAGCAACUAAACCAUGUAAAUAAAACCACUG
ensembl:lncRNA